UACGGAGGGUGCAAGCGUUAUCCGGAUUUACUGGGUUUAAAGGGUGCGUAGGCGGGCCUGUAAGUCAGUGGUGAAAUCUCCGGGCUUAACCCGGAAACUGCCAUUGAUACUAUUUGUCUUGAAUACUGUGGAGGUCAGCGGAAUAUGUCAUGUAGCGGUGAAAUGCUUAGAUAUGACAUAGAACACCAAUUGCGAAGGCAGCUUACUACACAGUUAUUGACGCUGAGGCACGAAAGCGUGGGGAUCAAACAGG
rnacentral:rRNA from 1 species